rnacentral:rRNA from 1 species
UACAGAGGGGGCAAGCGUUGUUCGGAAUUACUGGGCGUAAAGGGCGCGUAGGCGGCCUUCUAAGUCGAACGUGAAAUCCCUGGGCUCAACCCAGGAACUGCGUCCGAUACUGGAAGGCUUGAAUCCGGGAGAGGGAUGCGGAAUUCCAGGUGUAGCGGUGAAAUGCGUAGAUAUCUGGAGGAACACCGGUGGCGAAGGCGGCAUCCUGGACCGAAAUUGACGCUGAGGCGCGAAAGCCAGGGGAGCAAACGGG